AUUCACAUGCUUGUAUGCAAGCAUUUUGCAUUCUUCCAUGUGAAACUUACUUCGUGGCUAGUAGACAGCUCUCUUUGCCUUUCCUAGAAGCCGGCAUUUCAUUUCGCCAAGACCCCUCUUAUCCUGACUGCCAUGCCUUUCAAGAGCGCCUUCACCCCUCCGAGCUCACGUCUGCGGUUGUCUGCGCAGACAUGAUGCUGAUUUUGUGGCGAUGUCUGCAUUGAAACAGACAUGGAAGAUAAUAUCUUUAGCGUGUGCUGUUCUCGUAAUCGCCCAGCUGUCCUCGGUCUGCAUUCACCUCUGCAGACACUCCAUAUAGUGUAUAAAGGUUUGCAGAUACAGAUAGUUUCACAUCAACUGGUGUGUGUUCAAGCUCUUCUUUGCAACAGCGUCUGUGAUCUUACUGAUCAUCGAAUUCAAUUCCUUCACUUUAAAAUUCGGAAUCGGGGCAAGGAUGGAAGAUCCAUCCCCAACUGAACCGCCUCCGUCAUGGCCUUCUUGGCCUCCGUCAUGGCCACCAACCCGGUAACCUCGUCCGCUGCAAACUGCGCAAUGGCCGUGACUUCAGAAAAAUACAAACAGAAGAGGAGAGGCGACUAGUUCCAUCUUAGCUUAGAUGGCUUCGCCUAUUUACUCAUUCACUUUUGAAUGCAAGCAUGGUGAUUGGAUUUCUACUGACAGACAUCUAGCAUUAAACAAUCCUGAAGUAAUUUUUUUUCUAGAGAGAGGUCUUCGCUACAAGAGUUAAGGAAAUGACGUUCGCUACUAUUUUUGUCACCAUCUCGUAGACAUGGCUUCCAAGACCUUCCUCUAGAUCAACUGGAUGAACUCUGCAAUUCCAGUUAAGAUCGUUUUGUACAGAUUAUUCAUUAUUCUUUGUAAUUAAUGUGCUGAAAAAAACGUGUUUUCACUUGCA